AUUGAACGCUGGCGGCAUGCCUUACACAUGCAAGUCGAACGGCAGCACGGGUGCUUGCACCUGGUGGCGAGUGGCGAACGGGUGAGUAAUACAUCGGAACAUGUCCUGUAGUGGGGGAUAGCCCGGUGAAAGCCGGAUUAAUACCGCAUACGAUCUACGGAUGAAAGCGGGGGACCUUCGGGCCUCGCGCUAUAGGGUUGGCCGAUGGCUGAUUAGCUAGUUGGUGGGGUAAAGGCCUACCAAGGCGACGAUCAGUAGCUGGUCUGAGAGGACGACCAGCCACACUGGGACUGAGACACGGCCCAGACUCCUACGGGAGGCAGCAGUGGGGAAUUUUGGACAAUGGGCGAAAGCCUGAUCCAGCAAUGCCGCGUGUGUGAAGAAGGCCUUCGGGUUGUAAAGCACUUUUGUCCGGAAAGAAAUCCUUGGCCCUAAUACGGUCGGGGGAUGACGGUACCGGAAGAAUAAGCACCGGCUAACUACGUG
rnacentral:rRNA from 1 species